rnacentral:rRNA from 1 species
UACGUAGGGGGCAAGCGUUGUCCGGAUUUACUGGGCGUAAAGAGCGUGUAGGCGGCCACGCAGGUCCGUUGUGAAAACUGGAGGCUCAACCUCCAGCUGUCGACGGAAACCGUAUGGCUAGAGUCCGGAAGAGGAGAGUGGAAUUCCUGGUGUAGCGGUGAAAUGCGCAGAUAUCAGGAAGAACACCCGUGGCGAAAGCGGCUCUCUGGGACGGUACUGACGCUGAGACGCGAAAGCGUGGGGAGCGAACAGG